rnacentral:rRNA from 1 species
GUAGGGUGCAAGCGUUAAUCGGAAUUACUGGGCGUAAAGCGUGCGCAGGCGGUUUUGUAAGUCUGUCGUGAAAGCCCCGGGCUCAACCUGGGAAUUGCGAUGGAGACUGCAAGGCUUGAAUCUGGCAGAGGGGGGUAGAAUUCCACGUGUAGCGGUGAAAUGCGUAGAGAUGUGGAGGAACACCGAUGGCGAAGGCAGCCCCCUGGGUCAAGAUUGACGCUCAUGCACGAAAGCGUGGGGGGGAGCAAACAGGAUUAGAUACCCUGGUAGUCCACGCCCUAAACGAUGUCUACUAGUUGUCGGGUUUUAAUUAACUUGGUAACGCAGCUAACGCGUGAAGUAGACCGCCUGGGGAGUACGGUCGCAAGAUUA